AUCCCUAGUACGGCGAGUGGAAGCGGGAAGAGCACAAAUUUUAAAUCUACCUGGUUCUACCAGGUCGAGUUUGUAAUUUGAAGAAACGUUUUUAAUGUUCCGGGUUGGUUUAAAUCCUUUGGGAUAAGGUAUCAUGGAGGGUGAGAAUCCCGUGUAUAUCAACCGCUGGGAUGUUAUUAAUACGUUCUCUAAGAGUCGAGUUGUUUGGGAAUGCAGCUCUAAAUGGGUGGUAAAUUUCACCUAAUGCUAAAUAUAAGCGAGAGACCGAUAGCGAACAAGUACCGUGAGGGAAAGAUGAAAAGAACUUUGAAAAGAGAGUUAAAUAGUACGUGAAAUUGUUGAAAGGGAAACGAUUGAAGUCAGUCAUGCCGGUGAGAAUCAACUUUGGGGAAGGGGGAUUUUUUUGAACCUAACCUUGAAGUGCACUUCUUCGCUUGGCAGGUUAGCGUCGAUUUUGAACGUCAUAAAAUGAUUGGGGGAAGGUAGCUCUUUCAGGAGUGUUAUAGCCCUUAAUUAAUGUGAUAUUUGGGAUCGAGGAUUGCAACGGAUACCUUUUAGGGCUAGCCGCCUGGCCUCUGAUUCGAUGUUGGGUUAUAGACAGCACGCUGACCUAUGAUCUGAUUAUUGGUCAAAAGGUUAGAUGCGAGCAUAAAUUCCGUAAGGACGCG
rnacentral:rRNA from 1 species